rnacentral:sRNA from 1 species
UCAAGAUGGAAUUAGUUGUUUCAUUCUAGUGUAAAAAUAUUUCCGACGAAAUGCCUCUGACCGCAGGGAAGAGGUUCUACAUAUU